rnacentral:lncRNA from 1 species
ACAGGUUGCACUGGAUUUUUUUUUAAUGGCACAUUUUUAAAACUACUGCUCAUUUUAUGCUUGAUAUAGAUUUGGCGUUUACCUUUUCCUAACAUAUAGGCAAGCAGUAGUUAUUGCUUUGUUGGUAAAAGUUGGCGUUAUUUCUGAAAAGCAUACGUGGGAAUGGCAAACUGUAGAAGCUGUGGCCACCGGACUCCAGAUAUUAGAGAUGAUAUUUCUGAACAAGUAAGGCAUGUUGGACGGACAGUCAGGGGACAUCCCAGGAAAAAACUGUUUCCCGAGGAUCAAGAUCAAAAUGAACAUACAAGUUUAUUAUCAUCAUCAUCACAAGAUGCAAUUUCCAUUGCUUCUUCUAUGCCACCUUCACCCAUGGGUCACUACCAAGGGUUUGGACACACUGUGACUCCCCAGACUACACCUACCACAGCUAAGAUAUCUGAUGAAAUCCUUAGUGAUACUAUAGGAGAGAAAAAAGAACCUUCAGAUAAAUCCGUUGAUUCCUGAACAGUAUGGAAAAGCAAACUGUGCAACUACUACAUUAUAUCAUUACCUGGUAUCCCAUGGAUUUUGUGCUUGGGACAGACCAUAAAUGAUGGAAAAUGUCAACACAAAAAUAGCUGAAAGCCAGGUACAACUACUGCAUUUAUAUAUGUAAGUUUUGUAUAUCAAAAAUAAUUGGUCUAAAUUUCCUAGACUUAGACUUGAUUUCUUAACAUUAGGGUAUCACAUACUCAAAUGGUAGACAAUGACCCCAACUAAAUCUUCCUGAUGUUACACUGCUUUAUCAAGAGGAUGGACUUUUUUUUUUUUUUGAGACAGACAGAGUCUUGCUCUGUCACCCAGGCUGGAGUGCAGUGGCGCAAUCUCGGGUCACUGCAAGCUCUGCCUCCCAAGUAGCUGGGACUACAGGCACCUGCCACCAUGCCCAGCUAAUUUUUUUUUUUAGUAGAGACAGGGUCUCACCAUGUUAGCCAGGAUGGUCUUGAUCUGACCUCGUGAUCCGCCCACCUCGGCCUCCCAAAGUGCUGGAAUUACAGGCGUGAGCCACUGCGCCUGGCCAAGAAUGGACAUUUUUUAAAAAAACAUCAGUACUUCCUACCACUGCUGCAUGAGUAUAAUGCUCCGGAAUUAUCAGAAAGCAUAAUGCAGAAAUACGAAUUAGUGGAACUUAAUCAUGUGCCAUAUAAGCUUACCUAACAAACAAACAAACAGUUAUAUCCCUAUUCCUCAAC